rnacentral:rRNA from 1 species
UACAGAGGUCCCAAGCGUUGUUCGGAUUCACUGGGCGUAAAGGGUGCGUAGGCGGUUAAGUAAGUUUGACGUGAAAUCUCCGAGCUCAACUCGGAAACUGCGUUGAAUACUAUUUAGCUAGAGGAAUGGAGGGGAGACUGGAAUACUUGGUGUAGCAGUGAAAUGCGUAGAUAUCAAGUGGAACACCAGUGGCGAAGGCGAGUCUCUGGACAUUUCCUGACGCUGAGGCACGAAAGCCAGGGGAGCAAACGGG